GACGAACGCUGGCGGCGUGCUUAACACAUGCAAGUCGAACGGAAAGGCCCUGCUUUUGUGGGGUGCUCGAGUGGCGAACGGGUGAGUAACACGUGAGUAACCUGCCCUUGACUUUGGGAUAACUUCAGGAAACUGGGGCUAAUACCGGAUAUGAGCUCCGGCUGCAUGGUGUGGGUUGGAAAGUUUCGGCGGUUGGGGAUGGACUCGCGGCUUAUCAGCUUGUUGGUGGGGUAGUGGCUUACCAAGGCGUUGACGGGUAGCCGGCCUGAGAGGGUGACCGGCCACAUUGGGACUGAGAUACGGCCCAGACUCCUACGGGAGGCAGCAGUGGGGAAUAUUGCACAAUGGGCGGAAGCCUGAUGCAGCAACGCCGCGUGCGGGAUGACGGCCUUCGGGUUGUAAACCGCUUUCGCCUGUGACGAAGCGUGAGUGACGGUAAUGGGUAAAGAAGCACCGGCUAACUACGUG
rnacentral:rRNA from 1 species